CUGAACCAGCCAAGUAGCGUGAAGGAUGACUGUCCUAUGGGUUGUAAACUUCUUUUAUAAAGGAAUAAAGUCGGGUAUGUAUACCCGUUUGCAUGUACUUUAUGAAUAAGGAUCGGCUACCUCCGUGCCAGCAGCCGCGGUAAUACGGAGGAUGCGAGCGUUAUCCGGAUUUAUUGGGUUUAAAGGGAGCGUAGAUGGAUGUUUAAGUCAGUUGUGAAAGUUUGCGG
rnacentral:rRNA from 1 species